rnacentral:misc_RNA from 1 species
GAUGAAGAACGCAGCGAAUUGCGAUAUGUAAUGUGAAUUGCAGAUUUUCAGUGAAUCAUCGAAUCUUUGAACGCACCUUGCGCUCCUUGGUAUUCCGGGGAGCAUGCCUGUUCGAGCGUCAUUACAACCCUCAAGCUCUGCUUGGUGUUGGGCCCCGCCGCCCCGGCGGGCCCUAAAGUCAGUGGCGGUGCCGUCCGGCUCCGAGCGUAGUAAUUUUUCUCGCUUUGGAGGCCCGGGCGCGUGCUCGCCAUCAACCCCCAAUUUUUUUCAGGUUGACCUCGGAUCAGGUAGGGAUACCCGCUGAACUUAAGCAUAUCAAUAAGCGGAGGA